rnacentral:ribozyme from 1 species
CGCUUGUAGAUAUCUUGAGAAACGGAUUGGUGGGUCG